GAUGAACGCUGGCGGCGUGCCUAAUACAUGCAAGUCGAGCGAACAGACGAGGAGCUUGCUCCUCUGACGUUAGCGGCGGACGGGAGAGUAACACGUGGAUAACCUACCUAUAAGACUGGGAUAACUUCGGGAAACCGGAGCUAAUACCGGAUAAUAUAUUGAACCGCAUGGUUCAAUAGUGAAAGACGGUUUUGCUGUCACUUAUAGAUUGAUCCGCGCCGCAUUAGCUAGUUGGUAAGGUAAAGGCUUACCAAGGCAACGAUGCGUAGCCGACCUGAGAGGGUGAUCGGCCACACUGGAACUGAGACACGGUCCAGACUCCUACGGGAGGCAGCAGUAGGGAAUCUUCCGCAAUGGGCGAAAGCCUGACGGAGCAACGCCGCGUGAGUGAUGAAGGUCUUCGGAUCGUAAAACUCUGUUAUUAGGGAAGAACAAAUGUGUAAGUAACUAUGCACGUCUUGACGGUACCUAAUCAGAAAGCCACGGCUAACUACGUG
rnacentral:rRNA from 1 species